UCAAAUUUCAUAAUUUUUUGAUAUAAUUUACCUAACGAUCAAAAGACCACAAAAUUGAUAAUUUUUAACGGUCGGUAUAAAAUACUUGCUAGUUUAACAGUAUAAAAGAAUCAAAAUUGGUUGAAUUUUUUAUAGAAAAUUCUAUUCACUAUUUAUAUAAAGAUCAAUAACUCCGAUCUUAAAUUAAAGGGUCCGAUCAUCCAUUUUUAGAACGUCGUUCGAUUUUGACUCUUCAUUUUAUGCCUGCUUGAUUGACUUUAUUAUGAUUUCAAAAAAUUACGAAAUUUAAUUUUUAGAAGUUUUAAAUAAUAUAGAUCAUAUUUAACGGAGUGUAUCAUCGAUUCGAAAGCUCCAGUAUCGAAAACAACCUAUCAGUACGAAGGGCUCUAUAAUCUUUUUUGAGAGAUAGGUAGCACGCUACACGCUUCGUUUAUUUCAUUUAGAAAUAAACUUAGCUAGAAAUGUGAAUCAACUAGGAUUCAAACUUGGGUCUCGGGUACCAACCACCAAGCCUUUUGCCACUGGCUUUAGGAACGGUCGGUACGAAGGGCUCUAUAAUCAUAAGAAAAAAAUAGCCCUAUUAUAUAUAUAUAUAUAUAUAUAUAUAUAUAGUCCGGCUACUAUGCUAUCGGUAGCAUGGAGCGCUCCGUGCUGACAAGUUGUUUUCGAUGAUGCGGCUUCCAAAUCGACGAUCGGCUCCGUUAGACUUGAUCUACACUAUUGAAAGUAUUUGGAAAAUAAAUUUCAAAUUUUUUCGACAUCAUUUGACUAGUGAUCAAAAGAUCUCAAAAUUGACAAUUUUAAUGGCCGAUGUGGUGUGUUUGUGAGUUUAACGGUGUAAAACAAUCCAAAUACGAUGAAAAUUUUAUAGAAAAUUUUAUAGAAAAUUCUUUUCACUAUUUAGAGUAAGAUCAGUAUAUCUGAUCUUGAAUUUAAAUCUUUUAUCAUCAUUUUUUAUGAGAUUUUUAUUUUCAGCCGUUCAAUUUUAGACUACUUGUUUGAUAGGUAU
rnacentral:lncRNA from 1 species